rnacentral:rRNA from 1 species
UGCAAGUCGAACGCAAUCUUUAGCCACUGAGUGCUUGCACUCAACAGUUAAAGUGCGAGUGGCGAACGGGUGAGUAACACGUGGGCAAUCUGCCCAAAAGUGGGGGAUAACACUUGGAAACAGGUGCUAAUACCGCAUCAACCGGCCGACCGCAUGGUCGGCCGGGCAAAGACGGCGUCAGCUGUCGCUUUUGGAUGAGCCCGCGGCGUAUUAACUAGUUGGUAAGGUAACGGCUUACCAAGGUGAUGAUACGUAGCCGAACUGAGAGGUUGAUCGGCCACAUUGGGACUGAGACACGGCCCAAACUCCUACGGGAGGCAGCAGUAGGGAAUCUUCCACAAUGGACGCAAGUCUGAUGGAGCAACGCCGCGUGUAUGAAGAAGGUCUUCGGAUCGUAAAAUACUGUUGUCAGAGAAGAACACGUGAUAGAGUAACUGCUAUGACGCUGACGGUAUCUGACCAGAAAGGAACGGCUAAAUAC